rnacentral:tRNA from 1 species
GUUUUAUAUUCAAUAAUGAUUUUAAAUUGCAAAUUUAAAGGUAACUUCGUUUAAAACUUC